rnacentral:rRNA from 1 species
GAUGAACGCUGGCGGCGUGCCUAAUACAUGCAAGUCGAGCGAACAGACGAGGAGCUUGCUCCUCUGACGUUAGCGGCGGACGGGUGAGUAACACGUGGAUAACCUACCUAUCAGACUGGGAUAACUUCGGGAAACCGGCGCUAAUACCGGAUAAUAUCUUGAACCGCAUGGUUGAAUAGUGAAAGACGGUUUUGCUGUCACUUCUAGAUGGAUCCGCGCCGCAUUAGCUAGUUGGUAAGGUAACGGCUUACCAAGGCAACGAUGCGUAGCCGAGCUGCGAGGGUGAUCGGCCACACUGGAGCUGAGACACGGUCCAGACUCCUACGGGAGGCAGCAGUAGGGAAUCUUCCGCAAUGGGCGAAAGCCUGACGGAGCAACGCCGCGUGAGUGAUGAAGGUCUUCGGAGCGUAAAACUCUGUUAUUAGGGAAGAACAAAUGUGUAAGUAACUAUGCACGUCUUGACGGUACCUAGUCAGAAAGCAACGGCUAACUACGUG